rnacentral:rRNA from 1 species
GGGCCCGCACAAGCGGUGGAGCAUGUGGUUUAAUUCGAAGCAACGCGAAGAACCUUACCAGGUCUUGACAUCCCUUUGACCAACUCUAGAGAUAGAGCUUCCCCUUCGGGGGCGGAAGUGACAGGUGGUGCAUGGUUGUCGUCAGCUCGUGUCGUGAGAUGUUGGGUUAAGUCCCGCAACGAGCGCAACCCUUAUUGUUAGUUGCCAUCAUUAAGUUGGGCACUCUAACGAGACUGCCGGUGAUAAACCGGAGGAAGGUGGGG